rnacentral:rRNA from 1 species
AUGGAGUCAGGCGAUACCAAAUUUGAUGCAUCACAGUAUGCUUUCUUUGGUAACAAUGUCUUGGAGGAGGUUGAGCUAGGUGGAUUGGAUGAUGAUGAUGCUGGUUUUGUUGGGCCUGGUGACAAAGAAUACACUCCUAUUUAUGGAAGGGAUAUGUUGGAGGAAGGUCAACCGCUCAUUGGUCAAGCUUUGCUUUCGCAGGACGAAGGUGUAGGUUCAUUUGCUGGUGUUGAUGAUCUUGCCGGGGCAUUCUCAAAGCUGACCAGAACUGUUAAUGAACCAAAGCAAUCAGGAAUAGUUAGUCGUGGGGGAUCGUUACCUGGACAAACUUCCACUGCUGACUGGGCACAAGAGGCUGAAUCAUCGUACUGGCCUACACAGCCUGCAUUGGGUGCUGAACAACGGCUGGACAACAAAAACUGGUGGUCUCAACCACCCCAUCCAGCCCAGUUUGCUGAUUCCAGACUUCAGAGGACAUCCUCAUCCCCGCAACAAGAUGCUCAGUACAAUCCUAUUGAACCUAUUCUCGGACCAAGGCCAUCUCCUUUGCAGAGAAUGUCAUCAUAUCCUCACCAAGAGCCGCAAUACAAUAAUAUUGAACUGAUUCGUGGGAAUGGUAGCAGAUUUACACCAGCUUUGAUGCAGCAUCCAAAUGGAUUUAUACCACCUCAAAUGCCGCCACCCCAUCAACAAAACGGAAUGCUCCCAAUUCAACACUCUCCACCCCAGUUCUCACAACUACAUGCCCAGAUGCUUGGUGCCCAACAUUCUCCGCCACAAAAUCUGCAGAUGUUUGGUCCUCGGCAUCCUUCACCACAAAUGAUGGGUAGAUUUGAUCCAAAUUUUGUUAUGCCUGACUUGAGUGAUCCCAGAGCCAGAUCGAUGUUACACCAUGGAAGGCAUGGCCCGCGCUAUCCUCCCCAAGGUUUUGAGCCUGGUAAUAUGAGAAUGGAUAAUAGGUGGCAGCGGUUCAGAUCCAAGUACAUGUCCACUGAAGAAAUUGAGAACAUCGCAAGGAUGCAGAAAGCUGCCACUCAGAUCACCGAUCCAUAUAUUGAUGAUUACUAUCAUCAAGCUUGUUUGGCCAGAAAAUCAGCAGGAGCACAACUGAAGCACUACUUCUGUCCAACCUUGAUCAGAGAUACAUCUUCUCGUACACGCAGUAAGGAUGAGCCACAUGCAUAUCUUCAGGUUGAUGCUCUUGGGAGGCUUCCAUUUUCCUCCAUCCGCAGGCCCCGUCCGCUCCUUGAUGUUGAAGAAGCCUCUGAACCAAGUGAUAGCACUACUGAAAAAUCUGCUUCAAAAUCUCUUGACCAAGAGCCGAUGCUGGCUGCUAGAAUCACAAUUGAAGAUGGCCUUUGCCUACUACUGGAUGUGGAUGAUAUAGAUCGUUUGCUUCACUUUAGUAAACAGCCAGAUGGUGGUUUGCAACUUAGAAACAGAAGACAGGCUCUUCUCGAGCAGCUGGCAGAAUCACUGCAAUUAGUUGAUCCACUUACAUCUAAUAAGGAUGCACCUCUGUCGCAAAAUGAUGAUCUAGUGUUUCUCCGCAUAGUAUCUCUACCGAAGGGCCGGAAACUACUUUCUCGUUAUAUUGAUCUUGUUACUUCAGGUAGUGAGCUUGCAAGGGUUGUUUGCAUGGCAGUUUUCCGGAAUCUAAGAUCUAUAUUCGGCAAUUUGCCCUCUGAUAGCAGCAUAGCUGGGACCACAACUAAACUUGUAUGUGCCGUAUCCACCUGUGUUGUUCGGAUGGACUUGAGUGGACUCAGUGCUUGUCUUGCAGCUGUUGCGUGUUCGUCACAGCAACCACCUCUUCGACCUCUGGGAUAUGCUGCUGGUGACGGCGCUUCUGUCAUCAUAAAGUCUCUACUGGACAGAGCUACAGAUCUUCUUACUGAUCAACAUGUGGCCUCUGCUUACAGCAUGCAGAACCGAACUCUAUGGCAGGCAUCAUUUGAUGCCUUCUUCGGGCUACUUAUGGGGUAUUGCAUGAGUAAAUUUGAUACUGUGGUUCAUACAGUGCAAAUGCAACCUGCUGCUGCAGCUGUGAUAAGCAGGGAAACACCAGUGGAGCUGUUGCGUGCCAGCCUUCCUCACACAAAUGAGUAUCAGCGCAAGCAGUUGCUCAGUUUCGCUCAGCGCACUGUGCCUGUCAACAGCUCUAGUUCCCAUGGGUCUGGUAAUGUGCCGAUGGCAUCAGAAUAUGUCCAGAGCUGA